GAGACAAUUCCAGAGUCUCUCCAGUGUUGUGAACCAGAUGAUGGUGGCAAGGUGACAGACACUCAGCCUUCCCUUUCUUUCAGGUUGGUUGAAAUGAAACACUAAUGAAAAAGGAUCCAGCUUGGGAAAUAAUAUUCUGGUUAUUGAUAUUACCUAAAUUUUUUCCUUUUAAAAACCAAGCCAUUAAUAAGGCUAAUAAAACCAAAGUAUUAAUAACACAGGAACAAAACAUGUUUGUGUGUGGAUAUCAACCAGACCACCCAGAUUCACUCAGACAUGUGUGAAAUAUCAUGCAAUAAGGUUCAUGGGCACACAUGCACUUCUUGGUAUAUUUAUUCAUUAUCAAAUGUGGAAAAUCAUGUCAACGCGUCUUUUCAUGUGUGUAAAAGCAUGUGCUUUGUUUCGUGGGGACUUUAUUAAGUAAAAAUAUGACCUGAAGUUCUGAAAGCUUCUCCUACAGCCUUCUCUCCUUCAGUCAAUAAGUAGGACAAGGCGCUCUGUUUUCACAGUGAACUUGAUGGCUGCUGACUGGGUGUUAGUGACACUGUGCUGUACUGUCACCUGGGGAUGGUCUUCAAUGCUAGGACACAGCCAGACAGUUCCUAAGCUUUAUUGGGAUAAUAAAAUGUGUGCUUGAUACUCAGGAACUUUUUUACAAUCCCUCAGAAGCUAUAGAGAGAGCCAUAAAUGGAUGUUCAAAUGCUAGGCUGCUACCUUUUGUCCAAUGGCAGGUACAGUAAGCACACCUGUGAGCUUCCGCAGACUUGUCAGAGUAAAACUGUGAGAGUUGAGCUCAGACAUUUAGCAUGGCUCCUGUGUGUGUGUGGCUGGUGAGCUCCUGGGUUGUCACCUCCUCCUGAAUUGAGUGAGUGAGGCAAAGCUUAAGCAGAUGACAGAAGCCAGUAUCUGUGUAACAGACCUUGUGACAUUUAUCAAGAGGUUGAAGAGGCUUCCUGGUUCUUACAUUGUUCUUCGCAGCAACUUGCCAGUGACUUGCACAGCAGGGAAACUCGGGUAUCUUUCUUCUGAAUAACUGUCUUAGAACAUGACACUCGUUCUAUGGGAGCCCUAAUUCCAGAGGUGGGCUUUUGAGAAUUGCGUCAAGCUGGUGGCCUGUCUCUAUAAACCACAGGAGCCUUUAGCAUUCCUUUGCUGGACGUUAGAACUGUUUGGGCAUCAUAUUCUGUUGGCUUGUUAACAACGACCUGUGCCACUGUUUGUGCCCUUCCUUGCUGGAUGUCAUUCAGAACAUCCCCUGUGUGAGCAUCUGGCAGGAUGAGGAGCUGUAGGCAUUUACAUCUCACCCUACAAUCCCUGAUUUAAGGAAGUCCCAUAGUGAAUGACUGACUCCUAGGGACAGACCUGAUGUCUUCCAGAAAGUUAGCUGUAGUGUUAUUCCUGUUGCCAUCACAGUGGCAGCAGAAGAUGAAGAUAUACUUGGGAGGACUAGAACUCAUGUCCAAGGUACACACUAUAGGUAGGAACUCCUUCAGGUGGAUGUGUGCUAUGACCUUAUGGUAUCACUGUUUGCAAUGUUACCAGGGCUUUAGUCCAGUGUCAAGGCUACAAGUAUCCCCACCCUCCCUUCCAUCCUUCUCUCGUUUUUUUCUUGAUUUGAUGCUGCUCUGGCUUGUGGAAUUUAGAAUCAGCUAAAACACUAGCCUCUGGCAACAUCUGCAAAGGGAUUUCCAGAGAGGUUGAAUUGAUGAGAGAGACUACCUGGAACGUAGGUGGCACCAUUGCGUGGGCCAGGGUCUGAGACUUCUGAAAAGGAGGGAGUGAGCCCGAGCCAAGCACCAGCAUUUAUCUCUCUGCUUCCUGACUGCAAUCAGCCACCCCCAGCUGCCUUGCUGUGCUAUGCCAUGAGCCAACACAAGCUCUUCCUCCCUUAAGUUGUUUCUUGCUAGGCAUUCCAUCAUGGCGAUGAGAACAGUAUUGGUGUUUCUAGUGAUAAAAUCAACAGUUGUGAUGCCAGCCUUAAUAGUAAUUAUUUCACAUCUUUGAGAGUCAAGGUUUCCUGAGAUGAAGAAAAUAGAUGUGGAUAUUGGAUGAGAGGAGAUAAGUGAUGAUGCUGAUUUCAGUGGAAUUGGGGCUCAUCCUGUAUUUUCUUAGCAAUGGGCAUCCUGGUCCUGACCCAUGGAAAGAGCUGAGGUUGUUGACCUUUCUGCUAUCUGCCGGGAUGAGCCAUUCAUUGGUCAAGGUCUGAGGCCAAACUCUGCCACACAAGAUUGGAGCAUCUUUUUGAAAGGGGAAGCUCUGCCUCCCUCUGUGUGGAGAUCUUACAGCUGACAGGAGAGGUCUGAACCUCCAAGGCAAGAUCUGGCUGGCUUGACUUCAGGGUUAAGAGCUGUGUUUGCUCCUGUAAAACACAGACAGGAAGUCAGGUUGGUGUCCUGAAGGUGAGGAGGUCCUCAAGAAGAGACACUGGGCUGAUGAACAAAGUGUGUGGGUCUGGGAACCAUAGAAAGAGGUGGGCAAGGCUCCUGAGGCUCUCACAGAGCCACAUAUAAGUUUAGAUUUCCUGCUGGUGGCAGAGGGAAGCAGAGAGCCAUUCCAAGGAAGUGAUGGCCAUACUUGAUUUCGUUUUGAGGGCAGCUGCAUCCAGAAAGCUAUUGCAGAAGACAUCCAAGGAAUGGCUGCAUGUGUGCACAUUCACGUGUGCAAGGCGGGCAGAGGUGAGCAUGUGCACACAUGUAUGUGCCUGUGUGCACAUGUGGGGAAAAGGAAUACAGCUUAUGCCCACGUGUUUAUGCAUGUACGUAUGUGUGAUCACACACAUAUGUGUUGGAGGGGAGUGUGUGUUUGUGAGCAUAUGCACAUGUGUGUAUUUGCAUGAGGUAUGGAGGGUGAGGUUUCAGAAAAGGAAGCUCAGGAAUUGGCUGCUCCUGGUAUGACAAGGAUGCCCGAAGCUUGGAUUAGAGUGAGGUCACACUGAUCCCAUGCAGGACAGCAACAGUGUCUUUGUGGUUUUGUUUAAACUAGUUGGGACAGGAAGGCAUGCAGCUCACAUGCUGUUUCACCAUGAAAGAAAACAAGUUAACAAGAACCAGCUACAGCACUGGCUACAUAGAAGGGCAGAGAAAGAACCAACAGUGGGAUCACAAGAGACUUGGUUCUGCCUCUGCCGUUGCCUGGAUGACCUUGGAUUGGUCCAUUCAAUGCCAGGGGACUCAGUAUCCCCUUGCAAAUGAAUAGUCUAGUGUGGAUAACCAGUUUCACUCAGCCAGAGUGAAGGCUUCCUCUUCUUUCUAAAAUGGGAACCUAUGUUGGGGACCCCAGAAGGCAUCGAGGAAACACAGAGUGUGACCCUGUCUACUGUCUGAAUAUGUGCAGGGGGCUUUGGUGGCCACACAUGCCCGAACCUCAUAAAGUCCUGCUCCAAGGUGGCCUAGCUAUAAACGUUCCUGAAAAGGUCAUUUGAAUUUAUCAUCCCCUAUAUUUUAUAAUUACAAAUUAUGGCCUCUCUUCCCCAUGACAAUUUUGAGCUUUAGCAGACCUUAAAUUAAAACAUUAUACAUGUUUCAAAGCAGCCUUCAGAAAACUUGAGAUUCAUGGGUUGAAAACAUGGCUCAAGCAGCCCUCAUUACUUAUCUGACAUGUUUAAAGCCAUGAACUUGGAAUUAAAUUUGUGUGUUAAAACUC